GCUCAGAAGAGGAUGAAAAUCCUGUGGUGGAACCAGAAAAUCAACAACUCACAGAAACAGAGUAUGAGGAACCCCAUGAAGAUGCUGCAACUCCUCUAUCAGACUCUGAUGUCCCAGACACAAAUGAUGAACCUGUGGAAGAACGACAUUUAGAAGAGGGAGCGAGCUCGCCUCAGUUAAACAGAGCCAGAAGGGAUAAAGCCGCUAAAACAGCAAGAAGUGAAAGUGAAAGGUCUUCUACAGUCCGGAAAUCUCUGAGAAAACCAAAACCACCUAUGAGAUUGACCUAUGAAAAACCUGGUUACCAGUCCUGUGAACCAGUUACCAUCAUGCACCAUGGUAUGGUUAUUCAACUCAAGUUAAACCCUCCAGACCAAGACAACGAACCAAGGAAAAAGUGCAAAACAUCAAAAAGGUUCAUGGAGGAGGAAGAGAAAAGAAAUCACCCUUCCAAGUUAAAGAGGGACAAAAGGUGUGAUGAGGACAUCUACACAUUCAGAAGAGGGAGGGUGUAGCCCUGUAUAACAAUCAUUAGGAUACAGUGCAGAAAGUUCAUUAUAAAUAGACAAGUUCAUAUUAUUAAAAAAUAGUAGUUCAAUUAAGGUUAAAUACGGGAUAAAACGUGAUACAUAUAAUAUACACAGUUAAUAAAUAGAUGUGUGGUCAUUGGGCAGUAACAAAGUCACAGCCAAUCCAUCUAGAAAGGGGAGGGACAUGAGGUGCAACGUGUGGGUUCAGCAUGCUUUGAGCAGGUGAGAGGGAGAGAGAGAUGGUCCGGAGUCCUGGAGGGAAAGUGUCGUGGUUUGGGAAACAUUGGAGAGGUGUCUCGAGGUCGACUACUCGUUGUCCUGUUGUGUGCACUUCUAUGUUGCCUGCCAAAGGAGACGGACGUCUGUGAAGGGAGAGAAACUGAGAUGGUUGCUGCUGGAUGGACCCUGUUGUUUUCUUCUUCUCUGGAUUUGUGCCUGUGUUUGGAUUGACUGUCAUCAUCAUCAUCAUCACCCCUAUCUGAGAUUAUCAUUGCCCUGUUGCUCCUCGUUUUGGACUUGUGAGUAUUUAACUGACAUGAAAUGCACGUGCUUUUAUUUUAUGCUCUGGAUUGAGUGAAGUGGCCACCACAGUUUUCAGGUCUCACCGCACCCGAGCAUCAUCACAGGCCUGCAACUGAGCCUCAAGGUUAUAUUUUCUGGAGUGGGCCCACAUAUGAUUUUCUGUUUGUAAAUUUAAACUUGAAUUGUUUUGUUUGAUUCUUAGACCUGGGUAAGGUACAUUUUUAUUUAACAUUUUAGAAAUUCAGGAACUGUUUACAGCAUUUAAAGAAACCCUGUAUUUUUUAUUUUGUGCAUUUAUUUUAUAUGGAAAAUAAACACCUGUUGACGGUUUAGAUUUUUGUAAA